GCGCGAGUGGCGGAAUUGGUAGACGCACUAGCUUGAGGGGUUAGCGGGAGCGAUCCCGUGCUGGUUCAAAUCCAGUCUCGCGCACCA
rnacentral:tRNA from 1 species